ensembl:lncRNA
GUGCCUCCCGGUGAUCACGCGCACUUCUUCAGAGCGGGAACAAACAUCCAGAGAAAACUGCUUCUGCACCGGAGCAGAGGACCGGAGGACCGGAGGAGGAGGAGGUGUUUGUCCGCUUUGAAAAAUCCGCUGAAGACAAGUCCCUCACUCACCGUGUGCGCGUGCGCGUGAAUCGAUGAGAUGCGUGCUUGAUUGGAUCUCCCUGUUUGCAAUAAUGUGCAUGAGGAGGAGGAGGAGGCUCGGGCUGCCGAUGAGACUUGCUCCUUCUGCCCAGGAGCGCCUCCCUCUGCGCUCCUACUAGAACAAGGAGCCGUGUCCGCGCGCAGGUGAGCUCUCUCAGGUGAGGCCGCCGUGAGGAGGCGCGGAGCCGCUCCCAGGCUCGCGGACGAGAGCAAAGUUUGGAGGAGGAGGUUUUCCGGCGCUCGGAUCCUCGCGCAGACCCGGCACCCUGGGGUGCACCGGCCACACUUUCUCCCCAGUGACGGGCAGCUGGGGCCCUCGGGCCUCUGCGCUUUCUAUCUGCCUUGACAUCCACGUCGGCGUCACGGCUGCUCCACGCCUGCUCCACGCCUGCCUGAAUUAGUGCUUCUGCGCUGGGGCUAAAACGGCCAGCAGUCUGCCCUGCCCCAGGGCCAGAAGACGAGAGGUCAAUCUGCUCAAAUGAUUUUCCACUUUGGCACAGAGCGAGGACUCGUAGCUCCGGGAUGCCUCCCGCUCCUCAAAUGCUCAGAGGUGGAGUUUGAUCGGCGCUGACGGACGGCGACGAAGCGUGGAGACGGCAGACAUGUGCUGACCAGCAGAUCGCCAUCAUCACGCCUCUGACCACGCUCAUUGAUGUGCUGUGUGUAUGUGAGUGUGUGUGUGUGUUUGUGUGUGUGUGUGUGUGUGUGUGUGUGUGUGUGUGUGUGUGUGUGUGUGUGUGUGUGUGUGUGUGUGUGUGUGUGUGUGUGUGUGUGUGUGUGUGUGUGUGUGUGUGUGUGUGUGUGUGUGUGUGUGUGUGUGUGUGUGUGUGUGUGUGUGUGUGUGUGUGUGUGUGUGUGUGUGUGUGUGUGUGUGUGUGUGUGUGUGUGUGUGAGUGUGUGUGUGUGUGUGUGUGUGUGUGUGUGUGUGUGUGUGUGUGUGUGUGUGUGUGUGUGUGUGUGUGUGUGUGUGUGUGUGUGUGUGUGUGUGUGUGUGUGUGUGUGUGUGUGUGUGUGUGUG